rnacentral:lncRNA from 1 species
AAAAUAAUACAAAUCCUAGAUAAGCUAGAAAUAAUAGGAGAAAAACCCUUGCAACAUUGGGACUCCAAUCAAAUUACCUGCAAAUUAGAAAUAAUUAAUCCAGAAUAUACUAUAAAAACAACAUCUAUAGAAGCUACAAAUGAAGACCUUAAAGACUUUGAAAUACAAAUAAAAGAGCUACUAAAAUUAGGAAUAAUUAGAAGAUCGACAUCAAGACAUAGGUCAACGGCUUUCAUAGUAAGAAACCAUAAUGAAAUAGUGAUAGGAAAAGCUAGAAUGGUAAUAAAUUACAAAAGACUAAAUGAUAAUACUGUAAUGGAUGGAUAUAAGUUACCAGACAAAAUAAAAUAAAUAAAUAGAAUACAAGGAAGAAAAGUAUUUAGUAAAUUUGAUUGUAAAUCUGGAUAUUGGCAGAUUAAAAUGCAUGAAGAUAGUAUAGAAUGGACAACUUUCACAUGUCCAGAAGGACAUUUUGAAUGGCUAGUCAUGCCGUUUGGAUUAAAGAUGGCUCCUACAAUUUUUCAAAGAAAAAUGGAUAGUAUUUUUAGAGACUAUAAAAAAUUUGUACUAGUUUACGUAGAUGAUAUUUUAGUUUUUAGCAAUAAUAUGAGAGAACAUCUAGGACAUUUACAACAAGUUUUUAAAUUAUUUGUAGAUAAUGAAAUAAUAAUAAGUAGAAAGAAAAUGAAAUUAUGUAAAAAUAUUAUUAAUUUCUUAGUAGUAGUUAUUGGAGAUGGUAGAAUAAAAUUACAACCACACAUAGCUAAAAAAAUCUUAGAAAUGCCAAAUAAAUUAGACAAGACUAAAGAUUUACAAAAUUUUUUAGGACUCUAAAAUUAUGUUGGAGCUUUUAUCAAAGAUUUAGGAAAAGUAGCAGGGACACUAUACUCUAAAAUAGGAUCGACAGGUCAAAAAUCCUUUAAUACUGAAGACAUAAAAUUAAUCCAACAACUUAAAAGCAUGAUACAAGACUUUCCAGACUUAACGUUACCAUUAGAAAUAGAUUAUUUAAUAGUCAAGACAGAUGGAAGCCUUCAAGGAUGAUGAGCAGUAUUAAAAGCAAAACCUAACAAAUAUAAUGACAAAAAAGAUGAAAAAAUUUGUGCUUAUUCAAGUGAAAAAAUAAAGAAAAAGGAAAAUUAAAUAGCAUAGAUGCAGAGACACUAGCAGUAAUUUAUGAUUUGAAUAGUUUUAAAUUUUAUAUAUUAAAUAAGUCCAAAAUAUUAGUAAGAACAGACUGCGAAGCUAUAGUAAAGUUUUAUCAGAAAAUAAAAGAUAAGAAUAGUAGUAAAAGGAGAUGGUUAAAUUUCCUAGAUGCUACUUCAAUCUAUAAUAUUGAUUUAGAACAUAGUAAAGGAAAAGAUAAUAACUUAGCAGAUCAACUAAGUAGAUUAAUUAAAUAAGACAACUAACGAUUUUUGUUUCAGUAUAAAUAUAGGAAAAGAAAAAAGCAAGGCAGAAGCCUCAUCAUCCCAAGACUAUCUAAAGACACUAAUGAGCAACACUCGUUUUAGACCACUUACGAUGCUAGAACAACCAAAAUUAGAUAGAAUAAUUUUUGGACCCCACAACUUGGUAUGUUAUGAACCAUCCAACUUAACUUUCAGACGAAAGCCAGACGUACAGGUUGAUUGGCUGCAGAUAUGUCUACUUGACAAUCUGUGGAUGGCUUAUAAUAGAAGUGACAUUAAUUAUUUUAUUUCAGUUCUAAAUGCAUUAAGUUACUAUUUUACUGAGAAAAAUACUACUAACAGGUUUAAAUUCUAUGUUGUUCUCAGAGGACAGCAGCAUGGAGUGUUCCAGACUUGGAUAGAGGUAAUGGACGCCAUAAAAGAGUAUAGAACACCUCUUUAUAAAGGUUUUUAUGACCUCUCAAAGACUCUAGACUAUGCCCGGAGAAAUCUAGAACCAAAUUGUUUUAUUAAUCCAGCUUUAAGACCAGAAACACAAAAAAUUCCUUAAUAUAAUAUUAACAAAGACAUAGACAAAAUUAUAUUUUGUGAUGAUUGUUCGCCUAUGAACGGAGCUUUUCAAAGACUAAAUCAAGCCAAUGAAGUUUUGAAACAAGAUAAUGAAAACCUUGUAAAAGAAAAAGGAUAGAUGUUAGAACAUAUAAGUAUUUUACAAGACCGUAUAAAAAUCGUUCAUUUUGAACUUUCACAACAGACUCACCCAAUUUAUGAGACCCAGCCAAAGAGUUCUCCAUCUUCUUUAAAAAUGAAAAACCCACUGUAUCGGGUAAUGAUACAGCUAGUCCAACUCAAACGGUAGCUGGUAAAGACUUCUCAAAUCCGUUAAUGGGUGUGCAUUCCCCAAUGAAUGCAACAAGACCCACUGUAUCGGGUAAUGAUAUAGCUAGUCCAGCUCAAACGAUAGCUGGUAAAACUCAUCAAAUCCGUUGAUGGCUGACACUUUGCCAAAAAGUGUAGGGAGAAUACUCCUAGCUAGUUUUAAAAACACAGGUACUCAGACAAUAGAUGAAGGAAGUUCUUCUCAGAAUAAAAAAGUUUUUUCAUUAAGAAAAAUGAAAAAUGAAAAAAGAUAUAUAGAAAAAAUAAUAGCAAACUCAAUAAAAAAGUUGUUAGCAGAACAAUCGCCCAAGGAGAUAUCUAUGAAUCCAGAACCACCAGAACAAAGAUCAAGAAUUUCUUUAAUUCUAAGAGAAGAGACAAGAACUGGAACAAGACUAGGAUUAUCAGAUGGAGACAGUGAUGAGUAUGAAAGAGAAUACAACUCAGCCAUGGAUCAAUUUGCCCAAGACCCAAAUGCAGACGAUGAUUCAGGAAUGGAGUUUGACUCAGAAGCUUUACACAAUUUGGAUACGUAAGAAAUGACGAUAUCUACAAAAGACAAAAUAGCAGAAGUAUGCAAUAUCAGAUAAAUAAAUGAAUGGAGGAGAAUUAAAGAAAGAUAUUAGCCUCCGGGCCCACCCAAGUUGAUAAGUCUUGCUAAAGUCCUUGUAAAGGAUUUGAAAUCCACAAAAAAGUAAGAUUUGAAGUCCAAAAAUGCCUAUAAAUAGCCCCUUUAUGGAAGACAAAAAAAUGUACAAAAGAGAGAAAAAAUCAAGAGUGAGAAAUUUUUCAUAAAGUUCUUAGUUUCCAAAGUUUGUAAGUUAGUUAAAAAAAAAAGUGUGUGAAAAGUGUGAAGUUUUCUUAGUUCUUCAUUUUUCGGUAGCUGUCAAGUUUUCAGGGGACUCCCGAAAGGGAAACCUCACUUCUUCCUUAAGACAUGUAAGUAGUAGUUACAUAGGUCUUUGCAAUUUUCUACCAAGUUUGUAAAUUAUGUUUGAAUUAAUUAAGUUUAUAUUUUCUUUCACAUAUGUUUUAUUAUUAAGAUCCGAAUCACUGGCAGUUUUCUGACAGUUUUUCUGAUCUUGAAAAAUUUAUGAAUUACUUAUAAAAAUACCCUCAGUAUAUGGUUAUUCUCUCAGUGUUUUAGCAAUCACGAUGGAUUAAUCUGUAAAUUUCUAGGGACUUGGAAAGUCCAAAGAAGAUUGAAAGAAGGACUGUUGUUAUUCUCCCAGGGUGUGAUUAAAGAAGAUAUUGCUAAAAUACCUAAAUCUGAAGAGAAAGAGAUGAACAGGGUAUAAAAAAUUAAAAAAAAAAAUUAAAAAAUCAAUAAAUCAAAAAAUACAAAAUAAUAUAUAUUGGGAGAAAAUACACUUGGACCUUUAUACUAGACUAAGGACAACGAAGGAGGGAGUACUGAGUAGGACUUUACACCAUAUUAAAAUAAACUCAUGAUAUUUCUACUUUAAUAACUUAAAAAAUUACUUACCUGCUUUAAUAACUUGUUACAAUAAUUUGCUUGCUAUAUUUAUCUGUCUAUCUUAUUAUACUAACUAUAUCCAUUUGUCUAACAUAAAUACUUACUAUCAUAUAUAUACUAUAUAUAUUCACUACUUAUAUAUAUACUUACUAACACACACACACACACACACACACACACACACACACACACAUAUAUAUAUAUAUAUACACACUUAGACUUAUGUUGCUAGUCACUAUUUAUUAUUAGCUUUGUUAAUAUAUCUAUCUGUCUAUUUUAUAUAAUAUUAUUGUUUGUUAUCUGUCUAUCUUAUAUAUAUAUCUACUUAAUAUCUCUGUUUAUUAUUUGUAUAUCUUUCUGUCUAUUUUUUUUUAUAUAUACCUAUUUAUUUAUCUUAUAUCUGCUUAAUAUCUUGUUUAUUAUUAUAUCCAGAGAAAUACAAAGAGAAUAUAAUCAUUUAUAUAAAGAAAUAAGACAAAGAAAUGAUAUUUUAAGAAUAGAACAAAGACUAAUAAAUCAAAUAGAAAUAUUAGAAACUACAGAAUUACCAGAAGCAAUCAUUAUUUUAGAUUUUAUAAAUUUCGUAAAUUGCAUAAAUCAUAUAAGUUUACUAAAGUGUAGAUUGGAAAGUAUUAGAUAUUGUAUAGACUAUAGAAAUUUUAGAUACAAACAGCUAAAAAAUAGUGUAGAAACAAUACACCCUCGUUAGGAUAAAGAAGAAUAGUAGUGUAAAAAUAGAUAAUUUAAAGAAGCUAGAAUAUUUAGAUCUAACAAUCCCAGUUGAAAAGAAAUACAGACGUUUUAAAGAUAAUUCUCUUAUUAGAUGUAAUUUUAACAAUGAAGAACAUACACUACACGAAGAAAAUCCACAAUUAAAUACCACUACAGAUUUUAUAAUAAACCUAGGAGAAAAGACUCAACAAGAAAAUACAAAAAUACUAAAAACUCUAGAGAUAUUAGAAGACCUGCAAAAUAAACAAAAGAAAUUUUUAGAUAAAAUAGAAUUAAAUUUUGAUUUCUUAAAGAACCUAGACAAAAAAUUCAAAGUUUUAAUUAACAAAGACAAAGGUCAUUUGGAAAAUUUCGAAAUAAGGCUAGCAUAAGGAUAAGCCAGAGGAAAACUUAGAUAAUAUAUUUCUUUUUUUAUUUUUCUUUUUUCUUAAUGAAAAACUCUUCUUAUUCUAGGAAAAACUUCCUUCAUCUAUUGUCUGAGUACCUAUGUUUUUAAAACUAGCUGGGAGUAUUCUUCCUACACUUUUUGGCAAAGUGUCAGCCAUCAACGGAUUUGAUGAGUCUUUACCAGCUACCAUUUGAGCUGGAUUAGCUGUAUCAUUACCAGAUACAGUGAGUCUUGCUGUAUUCAUUGGGGAAUGCACACCCAUUAGCAGAUUUGAGAAGUCUUUACCAGCUAUCAUUUGAGCUGGACUAGCUGUAUCAUUACACGAUACAGUGGGUUUUUCCAUUUUUAAAGAAGAUGGAGAACUCUUUGGCUGGGUCUCAUAAAUUGGCUGAGUUUGUUGUGAAAGUUCAAAAUGAAGGAUUUUUAUACGGUCUUGUAAAAUACUUACAUGUUCUAACAUCUGUCCUUUUUAUUUUACAAGGAUUUCAUUAUCUUGUUUCAAAACUUCAUUGGCUUAAUUUAGUCUUUGAAAAGCUCCGAUCAUAGAGGAACAAUGAUCACAAAAUAUAAUUUUGUCUGUGUCAUUGUUAAUAUUAUAUUGAGGAAUUUUUUGUGUUUCUGGUCUAAGUCUGUGUUAUUGACUAAGUGAUAGUCUGUGUUUAUUCUUUCUAGUCCUAUUUCAUUUAUAAAUUCGUCUUCUCCAGAGUCUGAAGAAUCAGAAUUAUCCUUUUCUUCUUCAAAAACUAACCCAAAAUAUCACUAAAAUAUGAUAAAGGAGAAAAUUAUACAUGUAAUGAUAAUAAAAAGGCAACAAUGUAUGAAGAAUUACAAAAUUUAUUAGUAGUAGAAGAAAUAGAAAAAGACUACAUUUUAAUAGAAAUGGAUACAGAAUUAUAUAGUUUUAAGAAAGGUAUACAACAGAUAGGAGUAAUAAAAGAUCAAAAAGACUUAGAAAAAAUAAUACAAAUCCUAGAUAAGCUAGAAAUAAUAGGAGAAAAACCUUUGCAACAUUGGGACUCCAAUAAAAUUACCUGUAAAUUAGAAAUAAUUAAUCCAGAAUAUAUUAUAAAAACAACAUCUAUAGAAGCUACAAAUGAAGACCUUAAAGACUUUGAAAUACAAAUAAAAGAGCUACUAGAAUUAGGAAUAAUUAGAAGAUC